UACGGGGGGGGCAAGCGUUGUUCGGAAUUACUGGGCGUAAAGGGCUCGUAGGCGGCCAACUAAGUCGGACGUGAAAUCCCCAGGCUCAACCUGGGAACUGCGUCCGAUACUGGAUGGCUUGAAUCCGGGAGAGGGAUGCAGAAUUCCAGGUGUAGCGGUGAAAUGCGUAGAUAUCUGGAGGAAUACCGGUGGCGAAGGCGGCAUCCUGGACCGGCAUUGACGCUGAGGAGCGAAAGCGUGGGGAGCAAACAGG
rnacentral:rRNA from 1 species